CAAACCGCAAAAUGAAGAACAUUUCAAGCCCAAAAAUAGCAGAAAUUGAGACACUAGCUAGUUUUCCUGUGGCGGAUCCAUAUCGGAACUAUAAAGAGAAGACAUAUAAGGAUGAUCAAGUGCCUCAUUCACACUAAUUCUCUUUGAAGGAUCAAACACCAACAUUUGUUGCAACAAAUCAAUUGCUAAUGGCUGAGCCUGAGGAUAAAGGUCAUAAAAGGAAGUCGCGGGUGUAGAAGGUCACAAUUUGCAUUGAUAAGUAGGUUUCCCGGCUUCUAGUCACGGUGGAGAAUGUUUGCAGAGUGAAGAUACUUCAACCCUCGCAAUAACUAUCAAAGAAAGGAAGAUUGUUUUAAUACUCGCGAUUUAUAUUUAAAUUCAAGUACUUUCAUUAGAAAAAAAAUGGGACACUCCUAAAAUUGAAAAUAAAAGUAUCUCAUAUUAUGUAAAAGGGU